UACGAAGGGGGCUAGCGUUGCUCGGAAUCACUGGGCGUAAAGCGCACGUAGGCGGCUUCUUAAGUCAGGGGUGAAAUCCUGGAGCUCAACUCCAGAACUGCCUUUGAUACUGAAGAUCUUGAGUUCGGGAGAGGUGAGUGGAACUGCGAGUGUAGAGGUGAAAUUCGUAGAUAUUCGCAAGAACACCCGUGGCUAAGGCGGCUCUCUAGUACGGUACUGGACGCUGAGACGCGAAAGCGUGGGGAGCGAACAGGG
rnacentral:rRNA from 1 species